rnacentral:rRNA from 1 species
UACGAAGGGGGCUAGCGUUGCUCGGAAUUACUGGGCGUAAAGGGAGCGUAGGCGGGUUAUCAAGUUGGAGGUGAAAGCCCAGGGCUCAACCUUGGAAUUGCCUUCAAAACUGAUAGCCUAGAGUAUGAUAGAGGUAAGUGGAACUCCGAGUGUAGAGGUGAAAUUCGUAGAUAUUCGGAAGAACACCAGUGGCGAAGGCGACUUACUGGAUCAUGACUGACGCUGAGGCUCGAAAGCGUGGGGAGCAAACAGGAUUAGAUACCCUGGUAGUCCACGCUGUAAACGAUGAUUGCUAGUUGUCAGCCGGCAUGCCGGUUGGUGACGCAGCUAACGCAUUAAGCAAUCCGCCUGGGGAGUACGGUCGCAAGAUUAAA